GGAGCUGGUGCUGUUUGGGGGAUUGAAUUGAGCCAAAUAUCGAACCAAAUAUUGCAUCUAUUUGCUGAAAGAUUUAAGCAGAUGGUCAGCUGCACAUUUUAGCUUGUACAGCACACAGUGUGAAAUAAAAAUAAGGGGAAAAUAGAAAGGGUAUUAACAACAGGUAAUAGGAAAGUGCACCUGGAGAGGAAGACAGGAGACAUCCUUCCAGCCCCCAGCCCCUUUUCCUUCACUGUCGGCAACACGGAUGGGGGCUGGGGCUUGCCUUACAGCCUGCUCUGACCAGAGGGAAGUGACACCGUGGACAUUGCUGUGUAGCAGGAAGCUUCCUGCAGGCCAGGUGAAUUGCCUGCCGUCUCGAAUCUCCUUAUCGACAAUUAUGCCUCGACAUUUAAUGUUGGGUAAAGCUCAUACUAAGUAAAUGUAAGUGGCAAAGAAGCUCCCAGUGGAAACGAAUCUGAUUAGUAUCCAUGAGGACACAGGUUCCAUCCCUGGCCUUACUCAGGGGUUAAGGACCUAGCAUUGCCCUGAGCUGUGGUGUAGGUCACAGAUCCAGCUCGGAUCCCAUGUUGCUGUGGCUCUGGCGUAGGCUGGAGGCUACAACUUUGAUUCAGCCUCUAGCCUGUGAACCUCCAUAUGCCGCAGGUACAGUCCUAAAAAGACUAAUAAUAAUAAUAAUAAUAAUAAUAAUAAAUAUAAAUGGCCAGAAAGUUUUGUCCAAGUUCAUAAAACUGUGCUCUCAAAAUACAAGGGGGCUAUCACAGAAAAAGCAAAAAGCCUGGAGACCCAGUUUUAAUAUUAUUGUAAGGAAUUAUGUGCAGGCAGAGAGCUAAGUGCCAUACAAAUAUUAACUCACUUAUUUGUCUUACCCCCUUAGGGUAGGCAAUGUAAGUAUCCUUAUUCUACUAUGAGGAAACUGAAGCAGUGGGAAAUAAAGACUAAAGAAAUUGGAGUUCCCUGGUGGCCUACUGUUUAAGGACCUGGCAUGGUCACCACUGUGGCUCACGGGUCACUGCUCUGGUGUGGGUUUAGUCCCUGGCCUGGAACAUCUGCAUGCCACCCACAGGCACAGCCAUAAAAAAAAA
rnacentral:lncRNA from 1 species